rnacentral:rRNA from 1 species
UGGGGAAUAUUGGACAAUGGGCGAAAGCCUGAUCCAGCAACGCCGCGUGAGGGAUGACGGCCUUCGGGUUGUAAACCUCUUUCAGCAGGGACGAAGCGCAAGUGACGGUACCUGCAGAAGAAGCACCGGCCAACUACGUGCCAGCAGCCGCGGUAAUACGUAGGGUGCGAGCGUUGUCCGGAAUUAUUGGGCGUAAAGGGCUCGUAGGCGGUUUGUCGCGUCGGGAGUGAAAACUCAGGGCUUAACCCUGAGCCUGCUUCCGAUACGGGCAGACUAGAGGUAUGCAGGGGAGAACGGAAUUCCUGGUGUAGCGGUGAAAUGCGCAGAUAUCAGGAGGAACACCGGGUGGCGAAGGCGGUUCUCUGGGGCAUACCUGACGCUGAGGAGCGAAAGUGUGGGGAGCGAACAGGAUUAGAUACCCUGGUAGUCCACACCGUAAACGUUGGGCGCUAGGUGUGGGACUCAUUCCACGAGUUCCGUGCCGCAGCUAACGCAUUAGCG